GAUGAACGCUGGCGGCGUGCCUAAUACAUGCAAGUCGAGCGAACAGACGAGGAGCUUGCUCCUCUGACGUUAGCGGCGGACGGGUGAGUAACACGUGGAUAACCUACCUAUAAGACUGGGAUAACUUCGGGAAACCGGAGCUAAUACCGGAUAAUAUAUUGAACCGCAUGGUUCAAUAGUGAAAGACGGUUUUGCUAUCACUUAUAGAUGGAUCCGCGCCGCAUUAGCUAGUUGGUAAGGUAACGGCUUACCAAGGCAACGAUGCGUAGCCGACCUGAGAGGGUGAUCGGCCACACUGGAACUGAGACACGGUCCAGACUCCUACGGGAGGCAGCAGUAGGGAAUCUUCCGCAAUGGGCGAAAGCUUGACGGAGCAACGCCGCGUGAGUGAUGAAGGUCUUCGGAUCGUAAAACUCUGUUAUUAGGGAAGAACAAAUGUGUAAGUAACUAUGCACGUCUUGACGGUACCUAAUCAGAAAGCCACGGCUAACUACGU
rnacentral:rRNA from 1 species